rnacentral:rRNA from 1 species
AUCUACAGCCAUGCCACCCAGAACACGCUCAAUCUCGUCUGAUCUCGGAAGCUAAGCAGGGUCAGGCCUGGUUGGUACUUGGAUGGGAGACCACCUAGGAAUACCAGGUGCUAUAGGCU